GAUGAACGCUAGCUACAGGCUUAACACAUGCAAGUCGAGGGGCAGCAUGAACUUAGCUUGCUAAGUUUGAUGGCGACCGGCGCACGGGUGAGUAACACGUAUCCAACCUGCCGAUGACUCGGGGAUAGCCUUUCGAAAGAAAGAUUAAUACCCGAUGGCAUAGUUCUUCCGCAUGGUGGAACUAUUAAAGAAUUUCGGUCAUCGAUGGGGAUGCGUUCCAUUAGGUAGUAGGCGGGGUAACGGCCCACCUAGCCAACGAUGGAUAGGGGUUCUGAGAGGAAGGUCCCCCCACAUUGGAACUGAGACACGGUCCAAACUCCUACGGGAGGCAGCAGUGAGGAAUAUUGGUCAAUGGACGAGAGUCUGAACCAGCCAAGUAGCGUGAAGGAUGAAGGUCCUACGGAUUGUAAACUUCUUUUAUAAGGGAAUAAACCCUCCACGUGUGGGAGCUUGUAUGUACCUUAUGAAUAAGCAUCGGCUAACUCCGUGCCAGCAGCCGCGGU
rnacentral:rRNA from 1 species